UACGUAGGGGGCAAGCGUUGUCCGGAAUUAUUGGGCGUAAAGCGCGCGCAGGCGGUCAUGUAAGUCUGGUGUUUAAUCCCGAAGCUCAACUUCGGGUCGCAUCGGAAACUGGGUGACUUGAGUGCAGAAGAGGAGAGUGGAAUUCCACGUGUAGCGGUGAAAUGCGUAGAGAUGUGGAGGAACACCAGUGGCGAAGGCGACUCUCUGGGCUGUAACUGACGCUGAGGCGCGAAAGCGUGGGGAGCAAACAGG
rnacentral:rRNA from 1 species